rnacentral:rRNA from 1 species
GUGGGGAAUCUUCCGCAAUGGACGAAAGUCUGACGGAGCAACGCCGCGUGAGUGAAGAAGGUUUUCGGAUCGUAAAGCUCUUUCGUUAGGGACGAACGUGCUCUUUGUGAAUAAUGAGGAGUAAUGACGGUACCUAAAUAAGAAGCCACGGCUAACUACGUGCCAGCAGCCGCGGUAAUACGUAGGUGGCAAGCGUUGUCCGGAAUUAUUGGGCGUAAAGCGCGCGCAGGCGGGAUAUCAAGUCUGUCUUAAAAGUGCGAGGCUCAACCUCGUGAGGGGACAGAAGCUGGUAUUCUUGAGUGUCGGAGAGGAAAGUGGAAUUCCAAGUGUAGCGGUGAAAUGCGUAGAGAUUUGGAAGAACACCAGUGGCGAAGGCGACUUUCUGGACGAUGUCUGACGCUGAGGCGCGAAAGCUAGGGGAGCGAACGGGAUUAGAAACCCCGGUAGUCC